GGGGAAUAUUGCGCAAUGGGGGCAACCCUGACGCAGCAACGCCGCGUGCAGGAAGAAGGUCUUCGGAUUGUAAACUGUUGUCGCAAGGGAAGAAGACAGUGACGGUACCUUGUGAGAAAGUCACGGCUAACUACGUGCCAGCAGCCGCGGUAAUACGUAGGUGACAAGCGUUGUCCGGAUUUACUGGGUGUAAAGGGCGCGCAGGCGGGCCGGCAAGUUGGAAGUGAAAUCCGGGGGCUUAACCCCCGAACUGCUUUCAAAACUGUUUUUCUUGAGUAGUGCAGAGGUAGGCGGAAUUCCCGGUGUAGCGGUGAAAUGCGUAGAUAUUAGGAGGAACACCAGUGGCGAAGGCGGCUUUCUGGACGACAACUGACGCUGAGGCGCGAAAGUGUGGGGAGCAAACAGGAUUAGAUACCCUGGUAGUCCACACCGUAAACGAUGGAUACUAGGUGUAGGAGGUAUCGACCCCUUCUGUGCCGCAGUUAACACAAUAAGUAUCCCACCUGGGGAGUACGACCGCAAGGUUGAAACUCAAAGGAAUUGACGGGGGCCCGCACAAGCAGUGGAGUAUGUGGUUUAAUUCGAAGCAACGCGAAGAACCUUACCUGGGCUUGACAUCCCUGGAAUCGAGUAGAGAUACUUGAGUGCCUUCGGGAAUCAGGUGACAGGUGGUGCAUGGUUGUCGUCAGCUCGUGUCGUGAGAUGUUGGGUUAAGUCCCGCAACGAGCGCAACCCUUAUCAUUAGUUGCCAGCGAGUAGAGUCGGGAACUCUAAUGAGACUGCCGGGGACAACUCGGAGGAAGGUGGGGAUGACGUCAAAUCAUCAUGCCCCUUAUGUCUUGGGCUACACACGUGCUACAAUGGCCGGUACAAAGGGCAGCGAAACCGUAAGGUCAAGCGAAUCUCAAAAAGCCGGUCCCAGUUCGGAUUGUGGGCUGCAACCCGCCCACAUGAAGUUGGAGUUGCUAGUAAUCGCGAAUCAGCAUGUCGCGGUGAAUGCGUUCCCG
rnacentral:rRNA from 1 species